AUCGAACGCUGGCGGCGUGGCUAAGACAUGCAAGUCGUACGGGACAUAUAGCAAUAUGUGUUCAGUGGCGGAAGGGUGAGUAAUGCAUGGGUAAUGUACCAUCGACACCGGAAUAACAGCUCGAAAGGGUUGCUAAUGCCGGAUGAAGUGCGCGGGAGGCAUCUCCUGUUCACCAAAGGCGGGGACCGCAAGGCCUGCCGGUCAUUGAUCAGCCCAUGUCCUAUCAGCUAGUUGGUGAGGUAACGGCUCACCAAGGCAUUGACGGGUAGCCGGACUGAGAGGUUGGACGGCCACAUCGGGGACUGAGACACUGCCCGGGACACCUACGGGUGGCUGCAGUAACGAAUAUUGGGCAAUGGGCGCAAGCCUGACCCAGCGACGCCGCGUGUGGGAGGAAGUCCCUCGGGAUGUAAACCACUGUCAGGGGCUAGCAAGCGAUUCGGGCGAAUAGUCCGGAAAGUUGAGCAGCUCCAGAGGAAG
rnacentral:rRNA from 1 species